UACGUAGGGUGCGAGCGUUGUCCGGAAUUAUUGGGCGUAAAGGGCUUGUAGGCGGUCUGUUGCGUCAGGAGUGAAAACUCGGGGGCUUAACCCCGAGCCUGCUUCUGAUACGGGGCAGACUAGAGGUAUGCAGGGGAGAACGGAAUUCCUGGUGUAGCGGUGAAAUGCGCAGAUAUCAGGAGGAACACCGGUGGCGAAGGCGGUUCUCUGGGCAUUACCUGACGCUGAGGAGCGAAAGUGUGGGGAGCGAACAGG
rnacentral:rRNA from 1 species